rnacentral:lncRNA from 1 species
AUUUAAACCCCCUACCCUUCCUUCGGGGCUUUACUCCGCCUAAAAGACGGAACCUUUCUUUUGUCUGAGAGCCUAGCUACUCAGCCACUCCCUCGGUGCCCCUGCCAACUCCGAGCGUCCUCCGCGCCGGUCUUUGCCGUCUCUCUGCCAUCCUCAGCCCCCCGAUUCCUCUUUAAGGGGCUUCCCCGCCAGGUCCUCCACCCCAGAGGCCAUCCUCAAGAGGAUGCCAAGGGCUUGGAGGAAGGCAAGAAGGAGAACAGUGGUCUGCGAGUUCUCCGGUCAUCAAGCGACUUCUGAAGGUCCCCGUCGCUUCAAAGGGGAUUUGAGGAAGAAUUCCUUCAACAACAGGGGUUUAAUGAUGGAGACCGCCGGGAAAGGCGUUCUGCCUGAGAAUUUCGGAGUAGCAAGACAGGGUG